CAGACAUCAAACCUUGCUGCCAAGAAGAACCCAAGUGAAAAUGGAAAUGCCUUUUAGCAUAAACAUUCUGGUUGACUGGGGGGUCAAUAGGGGUCAUUCAAUAGGGGUCAUUUCAGUAUCACGCUGGGUAUUUAGGGACCAAACGUUCUGAAUCAAAUGACAUUUGAUUUUGGACAUUUGAAAUGACAUUGGAAUUUUCUUCUUCACAAAGUCCUCCCAAAGAACGCUAGGGGAUGAGAUAACGACUCUGAAUGGUUAGAGCUUCUAGCCCUUUGGUAACCAACAGGGAGAUGGCCCACAGAACUUGAAGCUGGGGCCCAGGUGGCAGGAUUUGUCAUUUCCUCAGACCAGUGUCUGUGCUCGUGAUGGGGAAGGAAUAAGAGUCAGCAUUCUCACUGGGGAAUUUCUAACCAGCUGUGUGACCUUGGGUGACUCGUGGCAUCCAUGCAGGUCCCAUUCUACUCAUCUGUUAGAGAGGAGAUGUGUUUAACUAUCACCAGGGCUCCAAGAUGGAAGCCUGUGGAGGAGACAGGACGUGGGCAGCUGGUCAGAGUCUGAGAUUCCAGCAACUGUGCCAACUUGGUAUGAACUGAAACAGAACGGCUUAUGAAACAGAACGGCUUAUAAUUGCCAUUAACUCCCUGGAAAAGGCUUUCAAGAGGGGGCUGUAUAGUGCUUACACACAGAUGCUACAAAGUCACUCGUGGAUGGAUGAUGAUAACAAUGAUUAUGCCAAUCACCACGGCAAUGAUGGUCGUAGUCAUGUAAUAGACUACAGCUCGCAUCCCCAUCUUUCCUGAUGCCUUACUAUCUAGGGCCGCCAUUCCUAGGGAAGGCAAACAGAAGGAGAUUUUCAGGAAAUCAGUUCAUGGAAUUGUCCAGUGGAAGGACAUCUUCAAAGUCUACCUCAGGCAAGGCAUGGUCCUCUGUGAGAGAGGAGGCAUGAUGGUGAAUGUUUCCCUAACUGUUCUAGCAAAUGGAGCACAUCUCCGUGCCUCUUGAGAUGGAAAAAAAUUGGAAAUAAUCCAAAACUCUCAAAAGAUUAAAUUUUCUUAAUCAUAAUAUGGGCUCUUCUGUUUCAUUAACCAUUUCCUCAUUUCUCUUUUUUCUUUCUCCUCCCCAAACUUCCUAAAACACUAAGAUCCAAUUAUAGCAUCAUCCAAUCAUAAUUAAUCAAACUAUUUAAUUAGGCAAAAUCAUAAUUUUAUAAAUACAUUAAAAGUUUACUGUAUUACUGUACAUUAAAAGUUACUGUAGCUCAGUGAUCAGUAUCAGACUCUAACAGUGGUUCAAUAUGCAGGUAGUGAUUCUGUUUAUAUCAAUGUGUUUAGAGUAAGGUAAAGUAUAUUGGAAAAAGAUAAUGUCCAUGAAUGCCAGAAAACUGACUGGGUUUGCCCCCAAACCUUGAUACAAUGGUAGUGAGCUUAUAUGGGAAUUGAAGCCAAGAUCUCCAAUUUAUAAUUUCAUGUGUAUUUGAAUCAAAUCAUUCAUAAUUUUCAUAAUAAGCACUUACUACUUGCUAUGUUCUUAUUUUUAACAACAAUCUAUAAGGCAGAUUAAAAAGCAAUUAAGUAACUUUCUCAGUUCUUAGUACCAAGUAAAAUGAAGUGGGAACUUGAACUCAGAUCUUAUGUAACUGAAUUUAGUGUACUUUCUGCCCCUGAGAAAACCAGCUACAGCUCCCACAAACGAGUAAGCCAAUUUUGGUUUUAAGGCACUGAAGUUAGCUUCUUUUAUCCUUGCCCUAGGUUUCUUGAAACCUAGGGUUAAUACCCACUUGUGGGGGUGGCGCCACUUCAACACUUUACCAUCAUUAGAAAUGGGCUAAUCUGUUCUCAGUCCACGUGGUCCCAUCCCCCCAGGUUCAUCCGCAGGUCUCCUAUGGCGUCUCAGAAUAUCUUGACUUUCCUGUGCUUGAAAUCAUUUCUCCCAGAAGGGGCCCACUCUCUUUCCCAUCAUUGCCUGAGCUCGUCACCACUGAAGCCUGCAAUUCUUCGGCGGGCGAGUGGUGUGGGCACAAAAGGCCGGAUAUCUCUGCUAGGGGUACCAGGCGGCAGUAUUCUCUUCCUCCGAGACGCUUUCUUUCCCUCUCGCCUUCUAUUCUGUGGUGCUGUUCCGUUCUCACGCCAACUCUUCUCUGCCGCUCCUGCCCACUACUCCCGACCUAUAGCUAUUCAGAGAGAGCGCUAAGUGGUCAAGGCACAGCACUGGAAACCAACGUGGCAGACAAAGGGGAGGCUUAACUCUCCCUCCCUCCCACCGCCGGGGAGGGCUGGGGAAUGUGAUUCCGGAAUUCACAGCUACAGGGCCAUCCGCUCUAGGAAACAAAGUUUAUAGGUGGUUUUUUUUUUUUCCUUCUUUUUUUAAAUAAAGUUAAUAAAAAAAGGAAACCAAUGAGUAUUUACUCCAUACUUUCCAAUUGUGAAAUAGAUGAAGACAAACACUGAAGCAUUUAUUUUAGCAAUGAGCCCAGAAGGAGAAUCGAUGGUCAAAUGAGAGGCCUCACCAACCUCUGCAUAUUGACCCUGAUCCUGUGAAAGAGGAUAAAGCAGCAACUGCUAACGUUUUAGAAAAGGCAGGGGUGUGUGCGGGUAUCUUUAUUAACCAAAUCUCCGUG